UGCAAGUCGAACGGUAGCACAGGAGAGCUUGCUCUCGGGUGACGAGUGGCGGACGGGUGAGUAAUGUCUGGGAAACUGCCUGAUGGAGGGGGAUAACUACUGGAAACGGUAGCUAAUACCGCAUAACGUCGCAAGACCAAAGAGGGGGACCUUCGGGCCUCUUGCCAUCAGAUGUGCCCAGAUGGGAUUAGCUAGUAGGUGGGGUAACGGCUCACCUAGGCGACGAUCCCUAGCUGGUCUGAGAGGAUGACCAGCCACACUGGAACUGAGACACGGUCCAGACUCCUACGGGAGGCAGCAGUGGGGAAUAUUGCACAAUGGGCGCAAGCCUGAUGCAGCCAUGCCGCGUGUAUGAAGAAGGCCUUCGGGUUGUAAAGUACUUUCAGCGGGGAGGAAGGCGAUAAGGUUAAUAACCUUGUCGAUUGACGUUACCCGCAGAAGAAGCACCGGCUAACUCCGUGCCAGCAGCCGCGGUAAUACGGAGGGUGCAAGCGUUAAUCGGAAUUACUGGGCGUAAAGCGCACGCAGGCGGUCUGUCAAGUCGGAUGUGAAAUCCCCGGGCUCAACCUGGGAACUGCAUUCGAAACUGGCAGGCUGGAGUCUUGUAGAGGGGGGUAGAAUUCCAGGUGUAGCGGUGAAAUGCGUAGAGAUCUGGAGGAAUACCGGUGGCGAAGGCGGCCCCCUGGACCAAAGACUGACGCUCAGUGCGAAAGCGUGUGGAGCAAACAGGAUUAGAUACCCUGGUAGUCCACGCUGUAAACGAUGUCUACUUGAGGUUGUUCCCUUGAGGAGUGGCUUCCGGAGCUAA
rnacentral:rRNA from 1 species